AUACUUAACUCGCAGGGGAGAUACCAUGAUCGUGAAGGUGGUUUUCCCAGGAAGAGGCUUAUCCAUUGCAUCAUAUGUGCUAACUCUUGUGAUUUCCCCAAAUGCGGAAAACUCGCCUGCAUAAUUUGUGUUAGCAGGGACUGUAUUUACAAGAUUUAA
ensembl:snRNA U1 U1 spliceosomal RNA